GGCGGUGUAGUCAAGCGGCAAAGACACGAGACCUUCAAUCUCGUAACGAGAGUUCGACCCUCUCCACCGUCA
rnacentral:tRNA from 1 species